CCUGCCGCAGCUCGCCCCGGUUCGAGCGUCGCUCUGAUACAGCGAAGGCCGCUGGUUCGAAUCCAGCCGGCAGGAC
rnacentral:tRNA from 1 species